CAUUAUUACAUUUUACAUAAUGUUAUAGCUCCUCAAAAAAUUGUACAUCAUAAAAAACUCAACAAGUGUACAUAAGCAGUAUACUUACUUUAUGAACAACCUUAAAAAGAUAUUUUGCACAGUGGCACACUUUUACGUAAAUUGUAUUUAAGAGUAAACCACACUUAUAUAUGGCUAUACCCUCGGAGUAAAUAUAAAGGUGAACCAUAAUUUCAAUAGAAAUAUUGUUUAAUUUCUCUUCUUCUCUGUAUGCUUUCUUUAUGCCGACAGCCAGGUUUAGGUGGAGGUGCCCAGCUGCAGGAUAAAGAAGUGUUGAUUUCUACAUUUAACUUUAUUUUUCAUACUAGACAAAUACAUAAUUAUUAAAUAUAUUGAUAAGUAAACAUUUAAAAUUGAGAAAAGUGAGUUUUUGCCCCAUAACGAUGUUAGGACGUGUCAUUAUGUCCUACAAAAAACAGGCUUUAACAACAUAUGAGAGGUACUUGGGGCUCCGUCAUCUUUAGUGGCUCCAAACUGAUAAGCUGUAUGCAGCGCUCCAAGUGAGUGUUGCAUACAGUCCUUUAAAUGGGGAUUUGAAUCUUAGUGGCUGCAACAUGGUAUGAACAGGCUAUCCCGGUAUCAAUCAAUACAUGGGCUUUAAUAUUUAAUGGUCCCAGACUGACUGAUAUAUAUGCAAUGUAUACAGCCUUUUGAAAUCACUGUGGCUAAGCAGAUCAAGCUCAGUCAUGGUUAAUCGCUAGCUGUCAGCUGUGGGAGUUAUUCAACAGAAGACAAAGGUUCUCCCUGCAUGCCCCUUGCCAAUUGUGAUCAGUGCUAGGGAGCAUGCUGGAGGUUCAGCAUUACAGUGAGAUCUCCAUUCUGAAAAGGGCCAGUAGAUGGCAGUCAAAGAAAAUACAUCUACUAUCCGUACUGAUAUUAGCAGAGGGAAUUUAUAAGGGGUAUGGUUAGUAUUAGGGUAUGUGUUAAUGCGGUUUUAGGGUUAGUGUUAGGUUAAGGUAGGUAUACAGUUAGAGUAAGCAUAAUUUAGGUCUGUAUACAGUUAGCAUUAUCCGUCAAAAGUAAUUUUAGAUCCUAGACAUAUGUGGUAUUUAAAAAAAACAAAAAAACAUGGCUGAUAUGAUCUAUUUUGAGUUCCUUUUCUUAAGUAGCACUGGAUGUGGAAAUGUAUUAAAAGAAAAAAUUUUGAAAAAUAUGUUUUGUUUACCCAUUUUUAACAUUUCAUUCACACUUAAUGAUGUGUUGAGUAUACAUAAAGGAUAAUAAAAUAAUUAAAUUUCUGCCAUUUAAAAAAAUAUAAUAUAUAUGGGGGGCACCUAUGUAGAGACUCUUAUGUAACAGUGGAACAAACACACUGUGGCUUGGUUCAAAGGUGGAACAAUUGAUUCUAACAAUAAGGGAGUUGAAUAACUUCAUUCUUUUAUCUAUAAUUAACUGGCAGUACAUUGAUAGCAAAGGAUUUCAAGGGCAAUUCUAUAUUUGCUAACGCCCCAUGCAAAAACAAUAAUUGAUAUUUGCAGAAAUAUUGUGCAACCUAGUGCACACGCUGGCAACUUUCCACUUGCUGGCUUUUCCAAAAGAAAGCGAAAGUGAAAAGUUAGGACGCAUGUGUGUACAACGGUUUCUCCACUGACUUGAAAUAAUGAUUUAACAAACAUUCCAGUGAAUAAAAGCAGCAGGUAGCAUUCAUUGACUUAAACAUGUUUUAGUUCAUUCAUUAAUUUCAGCCAAUAAAGAAACAUGGCAGUGCUAGUGAGCAUGAUAUACAAGCUGCCUAUACAAGUAAAAUGAAAAACAAAAAUUGGCUGGAAGAACCGAGCAUGUUGUUCCAAAAUGAUAUUGAGGAAGCAGAAGGCAUUGCAGAUCAUUACAGAAGGGUUUUUUUAUAGUUAUUUAUUAAAUCACCAUUUGUUUAUUUAAAAAAAAUUUUUUUUCAUGCAUUAAAGGAACAUUCCAAGCACCAUAACCACUACAGUUUACUACAGUGGUUAUGGUACCACAAGUGCCCUGGUGCCCCACCCAUUGUAAGAAGCCAAUGAAUCUGGUGGGCUCCUAUUUCUGCCUAUACUGCAGACAACAAGGAACUGGAAAGUCCUAAGCGAGAACUUCCAUUAGCUCUCCUAAACUAAGCACUACAGUGCAGAACUUCAUUUAGACAGAGAGCUUCUGGUUCUUCAUUGUUAAUGGUGGAGGUGGGGAUUGGUGCCCAAUGGACCUCAUGUAAGAGCUCAAACAGGUUUGACUAUUUAUAAUGGCAGGGUGACAAAAAGAUGUAGUGGUUAUGGUGCUUUGAGAAUUCCUUUGAAAUGCAGCUAUGCAGUUUCAAAGGCUUCUCUUUCCCAAGACAAAUUGUUGGAAAGUGACAGACGGGCCUACAACAUUCUUCUUAUGAACAAAAUUAAAGUCCAAGACACACGGAAGAAUAAUGCAUCACUGUUUAAUUUGAUACUAAACAAUAUUUAAAAUGAAAAAGUGAAGCCCAAUUAACUUAUAUAGUGGGGAGGGAAAAAAAACAGAUGCUCAAUGAAUCAAUUAAAAAAAUUGCACCAAAUUCCAACAUCUGUCUCCUUUCUACUUUAAAUUGUGGCAGCAUGAUGACAUCCCAAAAAAACAUUAACAGCAUGGCAUAAAAUAUGAAUGCACAUACACAAAAACGUGUAUGCAGCUGGAUUUACAUAGACAUAGAUACACCCAGAAGCACAAUCUGUGGAUCUUUGGUUGUAUAAAUUCAAAACAUAUGGAUAAAAACAUUAGGAGUAAUUAUAGUACAUGGUUGGAAACACUCCUUUUCUAAAUAAAACCAAAAUAAAAGUGUACAUUUAUCAACUCAGAUUUUAUGGAUUUUGUGGCAUAAUAGUUAGCUGUAGCAACUUCCAUCUAUGCUAUCAGUGUAGGGCAAGUAAAAACUUGACCUGUAUGGGUUAGGCAACAUCAGGAGUAUUAAAGUUCCAAUGCUUUAUCCUGUGGCCCUUGUAUCUCAUUAGCUAAAUAUCUACUUUUAUACAACACUAAAUCAACCCACCAAUAAAAAAAAUUAUAAUCAUUUACUUACACAUUUAGAAAACAAGUGUCAUGUUAUCUGCUUCGGCAUUAUAAGAACCAAGAAAGUACUACAACUACCAUUCCCCAUCCAAUCUUUUACCACGGCAUCUGGGUAAUUAAAAGUGUCCGUACGACUUUUAAAGGGAUUAUCUGUUUACAAGAAAAUCGCAUCAUGUAUUAGUAGUUUGCUGGAACCAAAAAUAAAUGGUUCAAAAGGCAAGUUUAACAUCUGCUUAAAUUGUAAUUUGUGCCAAUGCGAUUACCAACACAGUGCAUUGCUUACAUAACUGGCACACAAUGGUAUAAAAAUACACAUUUGACAUUUGCAACCUAUUUGGGUCUUAAAGGUUUCCUAGUACUCCCACAUAGGACGCUCAUGAAAAGCACUUAAUUUUGGCAGAGUUUUAAGGAAAAACCAAAACCAAACUAUACAUAUUUUUCUUCCAAUUUAGGUUUCAGGCACAAAAAGUCUGGAUUGGAGCUCUGUAAGGCAUCACUGAAAACUACCAAUUUUAAAAUAAUGUGAUACAUUCUUAGUGGGAACCACUUUGCAGUAUUUUCUGCUAUGUGCACGUGUGGAUCAAAUACAUAUUGACCACAAAAAAAUGAAAAGCAUCAGGGGCAAACAAAAAACAUUGCAAUGGUAUGUUGAACGUUUUUGUUCAUUUUCUGGAAACCUUUGCAAUGGUAUCUAUACGUUAGUACUUUUAGAUACAAUAUCAAAUGGCACAUACUAUUCGGAAAUAGAUAUGUAAAAAUAUCCCUAUAACUUAUAAAGGAAUUACUGUGAAAAGACAAAAUGUCAGCUAUUGUUCCGUCUCCAAAUCUAUUCUUGCCACAAAUCUGACUCUACCAUUAGUUAGAUUAGUGAUGAAAUGUCAGUACCCCAUUAUAUAGGGAAUAUUGAGAAGUAGCCACACAACCCAAAAGUGAAAGAAUGAGUUCAAAUAAAAUUAAGUGUAUCAAAGAUCAUAAGGUAAAAACCAAAAACAUACAAAAACACAUACAAAUAUUAAAAACACAUGCUGUCCCCAUUCACAAAAAAAUGUGAAGCUUCAGUGUCAAUUUUCAUUCCUGUCACAGCAUCAUUUAAAAAAAAAAAAAAGCUUAAGAAAACCC
rnacentral:lncRNA from 1 species